CACUGACCACUAACAUAAUAUAUACAAUAUACACACUGCCAUUAGAGGGGGGGAGAAAAAAAGCAGUGAAAGAAAAAGGGGGAGCACACACGGAUUCCAUUUUUAUCUUGGAAUCAGAGGCGAUAUACGGAGAGAGAGAAAGAAGGGACCAAUUUUGUCAUCAUCUUCAUGAGGAAAAACAAAAAAUUGAUAUAGGUAGAAGCUAGAAAAACACCAUUAGGGACCGAUUGUUCUUCUCCUUUCUUAUCCAUCGGCACACACCCCUGAGACGCCAUUGUUUUUUGCUCUUUCUUUUUUUGCAACACGCGACACACAGUAACAAAAAGGGUACUAACACUCACACAGUGAGAGUAAAUCAAAAGAAUGAAGAGAGUUUGAGUGAGAUCCAAUCAUUUUCUCGAGAUAUUCUGGCGAACCUUCACCGAAAUCAGGUUAAGUUCGUUGUUUGCUCGGUCCAAAUCCAAAAACCCAAUCUUCUUGUCAUUUUCGUUGGUUUCUAGCUGAAUCUGGCAAGAAACAGUGAGGUUGUCGGGAUCUAUUUUGGGACUUUUUUUUGCUGCCCCGUUUGAGUUCACCAGAACUCAGAUUACACCGGAUUCGAUCUUCCGUCAGGUCGAUUGAGGCUUUAGUUUUGGGUUGUUAUUUUUCUAUCCAAGUUGGAUUCAUCGCUGUUGAGGUUCUAUUCGAAAUUUCAAGUCCAAGUUUUCUUAUUAUAAACAGAAAUCAAUUAUCAAAAGGUCCAUUUUCUUUAACUCGUUCUCUUUUCUUUAUCUCGAUUUGUUGAAUUGGUUACGAAUAUGUGUAGUAUGAUAAUGAUUGUUGGAUUUUGUUGAUAUCAUAAUGUUAUGGUUAUGUGCUUGACGACGUGAUUUUGGUGAUAUAUGAAACAAAUUAGGAUAAUUUUUUAUGGCAUGAUUGAUAAAAAAAAUGAAUUUUGGGGGUGAGAAUGGAGAAAUUGAUAAAAGUUUAAAUGUAGAUUAAAUUUGGUUUGUGGUCUUUUUUUGUGUUUAAUUCAGAAUAAGCAUGAAUGUGAUUGAUUUAUGAUAUGUUGAAAUGGAUAAGCAAUAUAGGUUAGGGUAGUCAAAAUUUAGGAGUGAUGUGUUGAUGGAACGCUUUGAAUGUUUAAAUGUGUGUUUUGAACAUUUUUUCUAGUUAACUUAUUUAAUUCAUAUGUAUUCGUUUGGCCGGGGAAUUCCCCGAGAUAUUUGUGUUCAUUUAUCGGGGAAUGCCCCGAGGUAUUUUUAUUCUGAGGACGUUCGCAAUGAAGGCCCGAGGCAUUGGGUAAAGCACGGGAGCAUAGUUAGGAUUAGUGUAGAUUAGAGUAGGAUUUAUUUUUUGCAUUUUUUAUUUUGGACUGUAUAAUUGGACUGAACACUAUAUUUUGGAUUUGUUUUGUUGGUGUGUUUGGUUGUUUUAUGUGUUUCAUGUGAUUUAUACAUUUGUAAUGUCAAAUUAGCCAAUACACCUCACUAAGCGACCGUGGUCGAACCACGGGAUCAAGGGGUGCAUAACACCUUCCCUUCGGUCAACAGAAUUCCUUAGUCGGAAUCUCUGUUCGCAAACCAGUUUUAAAGAGUCAAAUCAUUUUGAAUAGAAUUUUCAAAAGGUGACUUGGCACACCAGAUUAUGCCAAGUGGUGAAUAUGAGUUUAAAUGUAAGAAGUCCUUUUUCGGAACAAAUUUUCAUCUUUUAUCUUUUUGAUAAUAAAAACCCUUUCAAACCUUAAAAUCAAUGAAUUCUUUUUUCGACUUAGAAAAGGGGUGUGACAACAGCUAUACUAGAUCACAUAUCUCCAUAUGAGAAAUUAUAUGAAAAAAAACCUACUAUUAUUCAUAUGAGAUUUCUAGGUUUCCUGUACUAUGCUAAGACAGUGCAACAAUCAGAUAAACUGCAAUCCAGAAUAAGAGAAUGUAUUUUAAUUUGCUAUUCUAAAACUCAGAAGGGCUAUUUACUUUAUGAUCAUGCUAACAAAGUAUUUUUUGUCAACAGAGAUAUCAGAGAAGACAUGUUUCCUUUCAAAGAAAGACUCUUGAAACUCAAUAUCUCAUAGCUGCCAAACUCAAUGAGACCGUAGUUAAUUGGUUAGAUAUGGAUCGAUGCUCUCACAUGAUACAUCAAUUGUUCAAAGACCACCAGAGGAAUCUAAUGAUCCUAGGGUACAAGAAUAUACUACACAAGUGAAGAUUGAUUAGGAUCAAACACCAAACACAUAUCAAGUUGAGGAUUAUAUACAAGUAGCUCAAAGAAGGACCACCAGAACUAGAAAGGCUCCUUUACGGCUCAAGGACUUUGUGUCUCUCAAUAUUCAUCAGGAACAACCUUAUGCUUUGGGAAAAUACUUGACCUAUGAUACGCUGUCUCCUAAGUACCAGGC
rnacentral:lncRNA from 1 species